AGAAUCAACGCUGGCGGCGUGCCUAACACAUGCAAGUCGCACGAGAAAGGGGAGCAAUCCCUGAGUAAAGUGGCGCACGGGUGAGUAACACGUGAAUCAUCUACCUCCGAGUGGGAAUAACCUAGAGAAAUCUGGGCUAAUACCGCAUAACACUUACGAGUUCAAAGCAGCAAUGCGCUUGGAGAGGAGUUCGCGGCCGAUUAGUUAGUUGGCGGGGUAAUGGCCCACCAAGACGAUGAUCGGUA
rnacentral:rRNA from 1 species